rnacentral:other from 1 species
CUCACAUCAGAUUCCCUGGUGUACGAAUUUUAAGUGCUUCUUGCGAGAGCAAGUUUGUCCCGGCCGUUUCGGCGGCCGGGAUG